rnacentral:lncRNA from 1 species
CAGGAAUUCUGGUACCUAGGGCUGAAUGGCUCUGCAUGGGCCUGAGGCUUUACCUCCUGACUCUGAAGCUACUGACAGGACAGACAGGAAUGUCUCCACAGGGAGACUGAUGGUAAGUUUUAUGCAACAACUUGACUGAGGGAUGUCCGGAUUGCUGGUUAAGAUUAUUUCCGGGUGUGUCUGUGAGGAUGUUUCUGGAAGAGAUUAGCAUUUGAAUUGGUAAACUAAAUAAAGAAAUUCUGCCUUCUAGUAUAGAUGGGCAUCAUUCAACCCAUUAAGGGCCAGAAGAGUACAAGAAGUUGGGGGUGGCGAAUUCGUUCUCUCACCUAUUGUAGCUACAACAUCUAUCCUCUCUGGUCCUUGAACAUCAGCAUUCCUGGUUCUCAGGCCUUAGGAGAAUUGCACUGCUGGCUUUCCUGAUUCUCCAGCUUACAAAUAGCAGAACAUGGGAUUUCUCAGCCUCCAUGAUUGUAUGAGCCAAUUCCAAUGAGUCUCUUCAGUUUAUUAAGUGGGUCCCCAACUCAAAAUGGUUCAACUUGCAAUUUUUCAACCUUACAAUGGUGUGAAAGCAGGGUUUGUUCACUCAAAAUGGUGCUUCUAGUGAUAUUUAGUACAGUACUGACUCAAUGCUGGGCAGUGGCAGUGAGCCAUAGCUCCAGGUCAGCCACAUGAUCGUGGGUACACAGUUGAUAAUCUACAGUGUGCUGUGUUGCUAAGCUAUGAUGCUUGACAGGUGUGUUAGUCAGCUUUACAUUACAUAACAAGAUACCUGAAAUCACCAACUUAAAAAGAAGAAAUGUUUAUUUUGGCUUACAGUUUUGAAGGUUUUUAUUCAUGGUGGUUUGGCCAGUUGCUUUGGGGCCUAUGGUAAUGCAGAACAUUUUAGCAGAGUGUGGUGGGAAGAGCUGCUCACCUCAUGAUGGCCCGGAAGCAAAGAAAGAAGGGGAUGGAGUUCCAGUAUCCCCUUUAAGGUCACACCCUUUAGUGACCCAACCCCUGCCACUAGGACUUACCUCUUAAAGGUUCUACCACCUUCCAAUAGCACCACAGACUGAUGACCAAGCCUUUAACACAUGGAUCUUUAGGGAACACUAAUCCAAACCAUAGCAUAGGCUAUUAAAUGCAUUUUCAGUUUGAUAUUUUCAACUUAUGAUGGGUUUAUCAAAGUAUGACCCCAUUCUAAGUCAAAGAGCAUCUGUCAAGCACACCUGCAUGUAUGUGCUCAUGUCCUACUGGUUCUGUUUUUCUGGAGAACCUUGACAUGCAGAGAUGGAAAGUGGGGAGUUCACUGCCUGAAUCCAGGGUCAAGAAAAGAGGGUGAAACCCUCUUUCAAAUCCCAAUGCUCCCUGCUUAUGGGAGAAAUAGAAAAUCCUCCUUUAUGUAAAUGUUUCCCUGUCCUUCUUAGAGAAUUUAAGGAUGUGGUCCUCACCACCUGCCUCUACUUUACAGGUGAACUUUCCUGGGGAAGGAGACUCUUCAGGGAAUAUAAAAGAGGGAGAAGCAAUGGGCUCAACUAUGGAGAGCUUCCUCUCUCUGGCAUGGAUCUCUCUAGGAUCCAGAAGGAAAUGAUGAUCUGGAAGAUGCUCCGAUUAAUUGCUUUCAGGCCCUGAGAUGGCACCUCUAUAGCCAGUCAUGGUUUUAAUUAAUCAUGCCAGCAGAUGGGCUGUCAUGAGCCCCAGCAGCCAAGGUAAUGAACUCAUUUAUUAUCAGGCUCCACCAGGGGAGGCCAUUUAGGCUUUUGGGAAAAGAAGAGAUUCUCCUGAUGCCAGAGCCCAGAAUCUGUGCAGUCUGGGGGAGAUCUGAUUUCUGAACUUCUAGUCUUGAAAAGGGAAGGGUGGUGUGGAAUCAGAUUGUGGCUCAGAUUGGAGGAAGAAGCCUCCUCGCCACCACAACUCCUUUUCAGUGCUGGAUAUUGAACCCAGGGCCUUGCUCAGGUUAGAUAGGUGAUCUACCACUGAGCUACACCCACAGCCCUCAGAGGAAGAUGUCUUGAUACAUGGUGCCUUAUAGGAUGCUGGAAAUGCCCUGGCUUAUUGGUACUCCUUGCACCCACCUGACUAGUGAAGUUAAGGUGACACAGCGUGAGCCGUGGCGUGUAUUCUAAAGCAGGAACCUGUUAGGAUGCUUUGACCUACCAAUUUUCAGGUCAAGGUUCAUGCCUUAUGGAUGAAUUGCUGGAUUUUAUGUUCUUGGGUUGUCUGGUUUGUUCUCCUCAAUGCCAGCAUUGUGCUAUAAAUGUUGAAUUAGUGAAAGAACAGAUGAACAAAUACAUCGUUGUGAAGUACACAACAUGGAAGAUAUAUCUAUAAAUCAACAGCUUUUUAUUGAGCCCAGUUUGGGUCUGAUAGCCUAAACUGUGCCUGGAACAGGACCCUGGAUCUUUUCAUAGCUGGAGUUCUUGUAUUGGAGAUUGCAUGUACCUCUAACAGCACUGGGACUGACAGGACAUGUAAUGAGCAUGGUCACUCAAAUAUGAGGCAGGCUACAGAAUAGCCACAGAGGGUCAUGGUUAGCAGGGACUGUGGGAAUAUUCAGUCCAGUUCUCUCUUUGACUGAGGAGGAGUCUGAGGAGGAGCAAGGAGAAAAGCUUGCCUAAGGCAAUUCAGCUGAUCCAUGGCACAGAGCAGCCUGGGGCCCAGAUGUCAAUCUUCUCAGCCCCUGUCCCUUUCAUGUCUGCAGGCUGCCGGAAACCACAACCACAACCUGCCCUCUGGAUCACUCCAAGUAUCCUCUCGUGUCCACCUGGCCUUGUCCCUACUGUGCCAAUUCAAUCCUGCUUUUUAGUUGGCAUUUGAGUUUUCUUCUAUAGAGCAUUAUGCCACUUUUCUUCUUUCACAGUUUGUGGGGAGGAGGGCACUUUUGCACAGUAACCCAUCUCUUGCUGCAGCCUGAGUCAUGAGGGUGUAAUGGAUAUAGAGCCAGGCUGCCCACUUGACAUGUGUCCAUGCAAGGAGAAGCCCUGGGCCUCCUCGUUGUGAAAAGCUUGGUGAUGAUGCUGUUCUCUGUGGGACACAUCCCCCUGUUUAUUGAGCAAUGGACAGGGACCAUUUUGUUGGGCUUAUUUCCUGGUGCUAUAUCAUCAUGAAUAUUUACUUUUGCUGAAAAGUAGUACACUAACUUAAUCCCUACCAUGAAAUCAGAAAGGAGUCUUUCUCAGAGUUAGCACUCUGUGGCAAUGGUACAAAGAAAGAAAUCGAGUGCCAAUUUUCCUAGAUGUUGUAGCUCCAAUAGCUUUAGUAGGAGUGGGUGACCUGUUGAAAAUUUGGUUUACCUGUUUUCCAAGUUGAUAGCAAUAUUUACACUGUGCCAGGAACCCAAACAAGAACCUUAUAUAUCUUAGUAUUCCCAUUUGGGGAAAUGAGACAUGGGGAGACCAGGCAACUUUUCCAAGUUAUGCAAAUAGUGAGAGAUGAAAGCCAGAUUAAGUUCAGUCAGUCAGGCUUGUAAGUCUGUGCUCCUAACCAUUUUACUACCUGGUCUCCUUAGGAAGACACUGUAAUGUUUCUCCAGCCCCCAUCAAAAGUAAAAUGACCCCCUGGUGUUUUUAAGGUUUGCCUCCUCAGAAGCACACACACACACUUAGACUGUGUUGAAGAAUAGAGUCAACACUUAGUGUUCCAAAGGUGUUGAUAGCCAUGUGGGAAUAUGAACUUAAUGUUAUCAGAUUUUUAACAUUUUUUGAGAGAAACCAUAAUUUCAGAUUUUUUAAUGUAAAAUAUUUUGGUUUGAACAAUCUAAAUGAUGUGGACAUUUUAAAUUUGCUCUGCUGUGACUUAAAGAACCCACUGAGGGAGGGUGUAUCCUGUGUGGUGUUACCUGCGGUCAACUUCAGCGUGAACUAGCUGGUUCAGAUGGGCAAUGCCCAGUUCCACAUGGCCCUGUCUGGCCCACAGGGUACUUGAUUGUGGAGCCAGGCAGAUCUUCUUUAGGGCUCUGUAAGUCCCAGAGACAAUAUUGACCCCAAAAAUGUUAAACCGGAUUCCAACUUAUUACCUUAUGGGUGGCUUUAAUCUAACAUGAGAGAAUCAGACUGUAACCAUCCUUGGCAUCCUAAGUGAGGUACAGCAAGCAAUUCACACCACUUGUGACAGUUGAAUUUUAUCCAUUGCAGCAAUGGCUCUAAGAGCUAAGAAACAGCCACAUGUUGUUAACAGAUUCAGAUGGGCUAACUCCCCCAAAGGAACACAGUAAGUGGAAUAGUAAACACAUGCCCAAGUGCACAGAAUCAGACAGACUGGGCUCCUUGGCUCAGCACUCAGAAGCCAUAUGGUCUGGAGCAACUUAUAGUUUCUAAGCCUCUGUUUCCUCAUCUCAUAAAAUAAGUGUAAAAGCAAUACUUAUUAGAUGUGUUGUAGGCUGAAAUAUUUAAUGUGUGAAAAGCGCUUAGUGCAAUGCCGCUCUCCUAAUGAGUACUCCACAAAUGUUAGCUGUGACAACUGUUAUCCAAGUCCAAGCCCAAGCCAUCAGCUGUCAAAGCCUAGAUGGCCAUGAUUUGAGCUCUGUGUUAAGGCCUUAACUUAUAACAAUCACCCAUGUUAUUACAUUUGACUUUCAGACAGGCUUGCUCGUCCACAUUCCCACUAGGAAAUGCUCUGAAAGUGGUCCAGUAUGAUUGCCGCUAUCCACAUGAUUUUUGAGCAUUCAGGAUGUGGCUAGAAUUGAGAUGUGCUCCAAGUAUAAAGUACACACUAAAUCUUGGUAUGAAAAACAGAACAUCAAAUGUCUCAGUGGUCAUAUAUUGAUUACACAUUGAAAUGAUAAUAUGUUGGCUAUAUUGGGUUAAACAAAGUAUAUCAUUAAAAUUAAUUUACCCUGCUUCCUUUUACUUUUUUAAUGUGAUCAGUUGACAUUGAAAAGUGUAUUUGUGGCUUGCCUAAAUUUCUUUUGGAUGGCAUUGGUCUAAAAUGUAGAGUAUUGCCUGACACAGAGUAGGCCCUCAAGAAACCUAAGCAGAUGAAUAGAUAAUUUCCAUAGAUUUCAGACCUUUGUCUCCUCUCUUGAGCCAUGUGCUCUCUCUCUGGCUCCCCUUCCCCUACAAUGAAUAACCACCACAGAGUCUCAGCUGUCAUCCACCAAUAGGCAAUAGUCCUACACUCCACAACAGAGGAUGGAGGCUCAGAUAGAUGGAGGGCUUUGAGAAGAACAAAUGCCCAGUGAAAGGUAGAGCAGAGAGUGGAACCAGGUGCUGUCCCAAAGCCUAGACACUUGCUAAAUGCUACCUUGUUCUACCAGUGAAGCCCUAGAUUUUUUUUUUUAUAAAUGUGUCUUUAUAAAGGCAGGUGGAAAUUCUCAGAGUAAGGCAGAAUAAGUGGUUACAUGGGUACUAGUUGCAAAAUGAGCCCUCAGAAAAUCAUGCCUCACUCCAAAAUCUUGACCCCAGAAUUAAGGUCAAGUCUUAAUUCCAACCAUCUUAACCAUCCUUCCUGAAGGAAGCACUGGGGUUGCAUUCCUUGAAGACAGAAAUCAACAGUACUCUCAUUUGGGGCAUUCUGUCAUUUUUCUUUAAGUAAAGGGACCUUGGGGUGCUCUUGUAUAAUGAUAAUAGUAUUGGAAAAGCCAAAAGAGUUGGCAGUAGCUCUUUGGAAGUCUCUGAAAUCGUUAAUAUUAUUGAUCUAGAGAGGUUGCCAGUUGGCAUUUGCUGGGUUGUUUUCUUUUUCUCAGUUCCACUAACACAACACACCACCAUCACCACCACCACCACAACCACACAAGUGCAGAAUCAGUGCCCAGGGAACCAUGUGCUAGUCAAUAAAAGAUUUUGGAACAAUACCCUUAGAGUCAAUCAUAUCCAAAUGUGAGACAGUUACAUAAUGUCAUAAAUAUAAGCAAGAAGCCGGGGUGAGAAAUGGCAAAGCCAGAAAAGAAGGACCAGGGUACACAAGAGUAAUGAAAAUUUAAGAAAAUGUUAGGCAAGAUUUUUCUCUCCUAGUGUUGAUCACCUUCUGGAAAUGACCAUAAUUUGCUCUAUCCUUUUUCUUCUUAGGAUCUCAGAGCACUUUACAGGUCACACUCAUUGUACCCAAACCCUGAUCAUGCAGGUGGAUGAAGAGACGCUUCUUUUUCCAUUGAGGGCUGGCCUGAAACUUAUAGCAUGUAUAGAACAGAAUGAGAAGAAAAUCAGAAACACUGAGGUCACUCACUUGCACAAUAACACAUCAUUUCCAGAUGCUUGGGGGCAAAGAGAAAGGAGAAUCCUUCAUUCUCGCUCCUGAGGAUCUAAGAGUAUGGAAAAGAAAGAACUGGAACUCCUAAUGUUUGAGGGAACUUAGACCAAAACAAACUAGAUAAGUCUAUAGAGUAGGUAACAGAGAGUACUGGAAACAAUUGAUCUGUUGGAAAGUAAAACUGAAUUUUAAAAGUGGAAGGAGCUAUUCUUUGAUUAGGAAGGAUGGAGCUUUUUACUGGGGUAAGCACCUAAGACCUGGUGAGAACAGAGGGAUAAACUGAUUGUCCUUACUGGUGACCAAUCAAAUGUGCAACACUUAUCAGAGAGCACUGGACAGCAAACAUCCUUGAAGUUGCUCUUUAGAUAGUCCUCAUGCAAGAUGGUAGCAAGCAGAAACUGGGAAGGAGGAGGAAAUUGGGGCCAGAAAUUCAUCCUUUUGGUCAUGACUGCAAUUGCUGGCCUCACCACCUUGCUUACUCAACAGUGUCUUUCAAUGAAACUGUGUUUACUGUUUGGGCUUUGACUGCUGUGUUUUCCCAGAUCCAGGGAACUAAGCUGUGGGAACUAGGUUUGUUUGGCUCCCUGAAAACCUCCACCCGCUGAGAGCUCCAGUUGUCUCUCUGCCAUCGUGAUGAACGUCAUCAUGCAAAGUGCUAAAGUGGGACAAGUGGAAGAAUGAAUUGAAAUAAAGGAAAGGAAGCAACCUGUGAAAACCCAGCAUACAAGGCUAGAUCAGCAAUGAAACUCAAUAAGGCAGACCCCAUCUGGCCUUGAAAAUGAAUGGAGCAUAAAGGACAGCCACACCUCUUGGAAACUUGUGCUCCAACUUGGUUAGAGUUACAUUCAUGCCUGCCUGAGAUGAACUUGGGUUGGGGACAAGUGUUGAUGCUUUCCUACAGAGCUGUCUGUGAGACCCCCUUUGCAUCUGACCACUUGCAUUCACUCGUUCAUCCUCCCUUUCAUUCUAAUAUCCCUCUCUUUCUCUCCUUUUCCAACUCUACUGUUUUAUCCCAUUUCACAGUUCAUGGUUCCUGGAUGCCUGCAAGGGCCUCCUAUCCAGCCAGCCUGCCUCCCCCUGAACUUUCUUCCACAUGGUUGCCACAGCCUCUUUCCAAGGUCAGCCAUACUCUGAUACUCUGAAUGUCAGCCCUUCCACGUCUCCCCACAGUUCACAUGUGAUACCAGAAUCAAGCUGCUGCUAAGCAGCCAACUCCAUCCCACACCUGUCUACAACCCACUCAUGCCAAACUACUUGCAGGCCCACUACUGAGCCACAUUGCUCAUGCUCAGUGUCUGCUUAUACAGGUUCCUGAUCCUGGAAGUUUCCAUUUUGUUUAUUUAAAUAUAAAGAUCAAAUAUGGUAGCCAUGAAAAUGUGCCACUCAGACCUCCUGCUGCAGACAGUAUUAUUGACAAUGUCUCCAGUUACUGCCCUAUUAUUGUACUACCAUGUUCACAAUAGGGCUAUGAUUCCUAUAGGCUGCUCCCAGCCAGUGACUUGAGCACAGUGGGAUACUAAGGCAGCCCCAUUCAACAAGAUGUGAGAUUCUUGGAAUGGGCAACUUUGGCUCAAGGACUACCCAUUGGUUUUGCCACAACUUUCUUGGAAAUGCUCUGUCAUCCAGAACUUUUUCGACUCUAGCCUUCUUUUGUCUCUUAGAGGUAAGUUGAGUAUGUGUGGCUUGAGGGUUCUUUUUUUUCUCUCUGCCCCUAUGAAUGCCUAAUCCUCUGUCUUAGCCCUUUUUGUGCUGCCAUAACCAAAUCCUACAGACUAGAUUUAUAGAGAGCAGCAAUUUAUUUUCUCAUAAUUCUGGAGACAAGGAAUUCCAAGAUCAAGGCACCCACUGGUAUUAGUGAGGGACUUCUUGCUGUGUUAUAACAUGGCAGGGGGUAGUUUCAAAUUCUCCUUUUAUAAGGAACUCACUCCCAUUAUAACAGAAUUAAUUCAUUCAUGAGGACAGGGCCCCUGUGACCCAUGUGUCUCCCAGUUAGGCCUCAUUCCCAAUACAUUGCAUUGGGAAUCAAGUUUCCAACCCAUGAACUUAAGGGGACAUAUUCAAAUCAUAGAACACUCUCUUUUUAUUUUCUUUUUUACUGACCUGAACUAAAGUACAAAGUUAGCAUCACCUCUUUCUUGAAAACUUUUCUCCCUUAGGUAAAUUUGAAUCUACUUUUCUUCACACCAUUCUCUCUUACCUUAUUUGUACUUUCAUGACUAUGCCAAGAACUAUUUAUUGUGAUAAUCUGUUUAUAGUUGUCUCUGUCUCUCAGACUGUAGAAUCCAUGAAGCAGAGGAGUUUUCCUUUUCAUUUUGUUAACAUCACUACCUAGUAUAAUGGCCAUGAUAUUCACAUGCAUCAUAGAUGUUUACAAAAUGGAAAUGAUUACCUGACUUAUUCAUUUUCAGUUCUCAUUGUCUAAGAUUUUGUUAGACACUGAGAACAGGGAGAUUAACAUGCCAGAAUCAUUGCCUUUCAUAUACUUUUAGGCUGGUCAAUAGGGUUAGCAUGUAUAUACUACUUCUUGUGUCUGUAUGGUAGGGGCUGGGUUCAAUUGGAAUUGAAUGCAGGGGUGCUCUACCACUAAACUAUAUCCCUAGCCUCUUUUAUAUUAUUUGGAAAUGGGGUCUUGCUAAGUUGCCCAGACUAGCUUUCAACUUAUGAUCCUCCUGCCUCAGCCUGCCUAGUACCUGAGACUACAGAUGUGUGUCACCACUUUGGGCCAGAUAACUACAUUCUAAGUGAGAUUGGGAUAGCUUCUGUCAAACUGGUACAGCAAAAUGAAAAAAGAACUUGGAGGAAGGCAUGAUUGUUCACACUGGGUUGUGGAAGAGGAAGGAGGAGCCAGGGCAAACUUCCUGGAGAAGAUAGCACGUGGAUUGGGUCAUGAGGGCCCUGUAGGAUUUGUACCGGAAGAGGAAGAAAGGAAGAGCCUUCUCUUCCAGCCAGAACAGCCUAAACAGGGGCCUGUUGUGCUAACUUCUAUUAUAAAGAUCUUCACAUACAGAAAAAGGUGCCUUCCUUGUUUUACUUUCAUUUUCUGUUGGCUUAGCUGAAGAUGACUUUAUUUACUUGAUGUUUGUUUACUCUGCCUGAUUCCCUAGGUCUCCAUCUGUCUGGUGCCCCGAAAACAGCUCUUGUCUUGUUUGUUUUAGUAACUCUGCACUGUCUAUCUCUUUGACUGACUUUUCCAAGUCACAUCUGGCAGAUUCUGAGGCCAUGCCUGACGCCUGGAAGGUUUCAGGCAUUUGACUGGACAUGCAGAGGCUUCAGUAACCAUCUCCAGCUGACAUGUCCCUGAGCAAAGACUGACUGGCUCCUAUUAUCAGAGCCCAAUGGGUCCUGAGGGCUGUGAGCUGGAGUGGGCAUGGAGUAGGGAUGCUGGCAAUGUACUGCCUGUCUGCUAUUAUCUGCUUUUGGAAAGAAAACACUAGCCUAGGGAGGAUUUGGAAGGUGGGAGAAGAGAAGAAGAGGGAGAAGAGGAGAGAACCAAUGACCUGCAGCCUGGAUGGUCCUGCCUGUGUUCACCAGAUUUGCCUGUGCUUCUUUUGGCACAGAGAAAGCAGGGCUAGGAGGUGGCCACUCUCAAAGAUACCUGGAUGCAGGUGUAUUCAGUGCCUCUGGCCCAAGCAGGCUCUGCUACAAAACAUGUAAAGGCAGCAGAAACUCCAGAUCCCUGAUUGGGCAGUCGCUCCUAUAAUUUAACUCAAGUUCUCCUCUCUGACUCUGCCUCAAUUAGAUCAUUAAAUAAAACCUGAACUGCAAAUCUCCUUGCUCUUAAAAUUUCUUUACCCCAGAACCAUAGAAACUGGAAAACUCCGGAAUCCUCUACUCUAUACCCUAAGACAACCGUUCCUCCAAGACAACUUCUCAGGAAAGAUAAGUUAGAACUUCCUCCAAGUACAAGGUGCCUACUUUCUAAAAAAGAUUUAAAUCGUCAUCUUUAAUUGUUACUAUUCCACUGUAGACACAUACAAUCAUGUAAAACAUUACAAAAAUAUUAUAUUAAUUCAUUCUAAUCAUUAAAAUACAGAAAGUUUUUUCACAUUCUCCAAUCUCAUCUUCUCUCAGAAAUAAAUAGCUCUAAUUAGUUUGGUGAUGACUUUACUAUAUUCUUCUGAAAUAUUAAAUGUAGGGUUUUUAUUGUUGUUCUUCAAAUAUGACUGUUGUGCAUAUUGUCCUAUAUGUUAUGUUUCUCAAUUAAUAGUAUGAUUUUGAGAGCUUACCCUGUCAGUUGCCUGAGGGAUGUGACAUUCUCUCAGAUACUGGUUUCAAACUUCAUCACUCCCAUGUUGACAAGCCUUAGGUUCUUUCCAAUUUUUCUUUUCAUUAUUAAAUGACAUUGAAUCCUUGUUUCCCAAGCUCUUUGUAAACGCAACAUCUGCUACUAUCUCUCUAGGAGAGUUCCAAAAGAAUGGAAUUCCUGGGUUGAAGGGUAUGUGCACUUUAAAUUUAAUGAAAUGCUACCAAAUGGUCCUCAAAAAUAGCACACUGAUUUAUCUUCCUAUCCUCGAUAUGGACAAGACACCCCCAGCUGGCCUACCCAGCAUCCAAUCCCAUCUCUUUCUCCUUUGAUAUAUUCCAUAGCAGGAAUUAAACAGGGUAAAUAAUCACUUUCCCAGUCUCUCCCGCAGUGAGGUGGCUAUGUGACACAAUUCUGGCCAAAUGAUAAACAUGGAAGCACCUAAGAGCCAAAACAUGGUUCUGAGAAAGCACAAGCUUUUUCUGAUAUAAAGAAGGAAUGUGACUGGGCCAGCCCUUCUCCCUUUUUUUGUGCUUUGAUCUAUAGCAGCCCACCCGAGACUGUGAGGUUACAGCCACAGGAGACAAAUCAACAUUCUUAGGUUGCCACAGCAGAGAGACAAAAAGGGCCUGGAUUGCUAGUGACAUAGCUGAGCAGUUAGAUUGAUACCAGCAGCCACCUACUCCGGAUGGCUAAUUAUAAAAGAAAAAUAAGCCCUAAAUUGUUUUAGUUCUUUCUAGUUGGGUAUUUUGUUACUUAUAUCUGAGUGAUAAGUUAAAAGAGAAUAUUGGUGCCAUGUACCCAUUUUUGCUUUGAUUUAACCUUGUUUUUUAUAUGCUAUGGUAAUGAUUCAAUAAAUAGGACUCAUUUAUUCACUGCCUACUUUAUAUGUUCUAUUUUUGAUAUCACAAAGGUCCUGGGAGGUGAAUUGAUUAUUUUUAUUUUAAAGAUGAGGAAACCAGAGACUAAAAAUGCUGUUUCUUGCCCAUAUUCACAAAAGAUCUGAUCUAGUUCUGGUUGCUUCCAUAAGUAUCAUUCUUUAAAGUCAGGAACUCAUGGUGGCUUGCUUAACCUAGCAAGAACAAUACUAAUAAUGGUAAGGUGACCUAUGGCAUUUUUAAAAAUUUAUUUAUUUUAAUUAGUAUAUAUGACAGCAGAAUGCAUUUUGAUUCGCAAUUGCAGCACAACUUUUCAUUUCUCUGAUUAUACACUAUGUAGCACUGCACCAUAUAUGCAUAUACAUGUACGUAUGUGUAUACAUGUAUAUACAUGUACCUAGGGUAAUGAUGUCUAUCUAUCUCAUUCUACCAUCUUUCC